rfam:Caenorhabditis brenneri strain PB2801 C_brenneri-6.0.1_Cont50.12, whole genome shotgun sequence.
ACAUACGGUCCGGAGUCAUGUGGGUUAUCUCAAAUUUCACUUGACCCCGUAUCCCACUGACAUACACUUGACCGUUUG